rnacentral:rRNA from 1 species
UACGAAGGGGGCUAGCGUUGCUCGGAAUCACUGGGCGUAAAGGGUGCGUAGGCGGGUUUUUAAGUCAGAGGUGAAAUCCUGGAGCUCAACUCCAGAACUGCCUUUGAUACUGAAAGUCUUGAGUAUGGGAGAGGUGAGUGGAACUGCGAGUGUAGAGGUGAAAUUCGUAGAUAUUCGCAAGAACACCAGUGGCGAAGGCGGCUCACUGGCCCAUUACUGACGCUGAGGCACGAAAGCGUGGGGAGCAAGCAGG